AUUUGUGAAAAGGAGAAUUAUAUUCGAAAACCUAUAAAGGGACAAAAGAAGAAUGAUAUGAUUAAAUAUGUAUUGCUUUAAGCGAUAUCACGUGUACACCUAUGUAAUUACGAGAAUAUUUAUUAUAUUAUGUAAAAUUAACUUGCGCUAAUUACUCCGGAGUUAUUUUUUAAGUCGACUUAGAAUAGUAUAAAUAAGGGUUAACUAUGUGGUGUGAAAUUUGAGGUGUAUUAAAGUAAUUAUAAGAUUUAGCUCUAUUGCAUCCACUGAAAUACGGAGCAUUUUGUUCCUGCGAUUCGUUCUAAAUCUACGGAGCAUAUGUAACGCAUCAAUUUGAAUUACUCAAAUUUUGUGUAAGUAAGUAAGUGGGGAGUCGUUCCAUGUACGCGCUCUAUUAUAUAAGCCCCUCUCUAACGCUGCUCGCUCUCCUUUGCUCGGUUGCCACUCAGCGAGAAACACCACAGAAGGCGGGACCUUCUGACUUACAACUAUUUGACGACAUUCCAACGGCUAUCUUCUGCGACAGAAUCCGUUCUGGGAUCAAGAUAAUUUCACUGCUUGUGUUGCAAGAUAUGCUAGUGCAGUUUAGUGAUUACCUCCUAUAUUGGGAAUUGUGACGAGGCAAGCCAAGUUUCGCUUUUCUUCUCAGUUUUGAGAUUACUUGGCAGCUAUAAAUAUUCAAUAUUCAUGUGACGAGAUGUGUGGCAUAGAAGAACCGAGCAUUGCGAGCGAAGAACCAUGAGCAUCUUAGUGUGCGGUGAACGAGAUGAUUGGCGGAGCCAAGAGCGGCCGACGACUGCAGAUGAGGAGAGACGACGAACGCGGAUUCAAAGAGGACAAGGAGAGAAUUGACGUACGAGAGAGUUUUGGGGAAAAUCGGUGCUGAACUAUCGGAUUGGAUGCGUUGCCAGGAUCAAGUUAUUAAGGAUACACGUCCAGUGCAAGGGGCGUGUAGGUCAGAUUUUGUUGUUGUUGGUGGCUGGCUCACGCUUAGCCAAUGUUGAACACGGCACUGGAACGUGUGAGGAUCCCGGCAAGAAUCCACGUCAACGACGCGUGCGACCGCUCAUCCGAGCGGAGAGCAAAAACGACUAGCAACUGGACGCGAACCGUAGCAGCGAUAACAGCAGCGGUAGGAGAACAUCAGGAGGAGCAGCAACCAGAAGGCGGUUGCCGGGUCGCGAAGAGGACCAAGAGGACCAAAGAAAGGCAUAUAGCAUCUGGACACGUCCGACUCACUCGAGCGCGAGACUAUAAAUUUCCGAAUGAUUUUAAGCAUCAGCUCCGUGCCGACCGCAGGAUCAUAAAUCAGAUUUUAGAUUUUCCCCAGAGAAGACAAUUAAGAAAACUGAGCGGUGAAUGAUUAUCGUAAAGCGAGAAUGCUUUGUUUUAUUACUUGUUCACGCUUGAGUUUUAAAAAAAUUUUACGCUGUGCAUUCUUUUUAUAGUAACCAUCCUCAACAGUGGUCUUGCUCUAGCCUUAUUAAUAAUUAAUUUAUUUAGG